AUUGAACGCUGGCGGCAUGCCUUACACAUGCAAGUCGAACGGCAGCACGGGGCAACCUGGUGGCGAGUGGCGAACGGGUGAGUAAUGCAUCGGAACGUACCUUUCAGUGGGGGAUAACGUAGCGAAAGUUGCGCUAAUACCGCAUAUUCUGUGAGCAGGAAAGCAGGGGAUCGCAAGACCUUGCGCUGAUUGAGCGGCCGAUGUCAGAUUAGCUAGUUGGUGAGGUAAAGGCUCACCAAGGCGACGAUCUGUAGCGGGUCUGAGAGGAUGAUCCGCCACACUGGAACUGAGACACGGUCCAGACUCCUACGCGAGGCAGCAGUGGGGAAUUUUGGACAAUGGGGGCAACCCUGAUCCAGCCAUGCCGCGUGAGUGAAGAAGGCCUUCGGGUUGUAAAGCUCUUUCGGCCGGGAAGAAAUCGCACGGGCUAAUACCCUGUGUGGAUGACGGUACCGGAAUAAGAAGCACCGGCUAACUACGUGCCAGCAGCCGCCGUAAAAC
rnacentral:rRNA from 1 species